AACAGACUUGGUCCUAGUCCUGUUCUUGACUCUCUCUGGGAUGAUACAUGCAAGUUAAUAACAAAACAGUGAGUAAAAAAAUUCUAAUAACUAAAAGUAAAAUAGAUCAAUAAAAGUAUCAGAAUAUAACCACUAUAAUCUAAAACACUUAGCAAAUACAAAAAUAAUACCACCCCUGCAGUACCUAACAUUGUACAAUAAGCAACAGCUUGAUAUAGCCACAGAGAAAACUAACCGGUAAAUUAUGUGCCAGCCACCGCGGUUAUACAUAAGGUCUUAGCCAAGAUAAACGGUAAAAAGGUGCAUAAUAAGGAAAAAACUAACUUCAGCAGUAAUAAGCUUAUAGAAAACUAAUAAUAAUAGUCUCCCUACCUAAAUUUUAUUUGCACGAAAACUCAAAAAUAAACUGGGAUUAGAUACCCCAUUAUAUGAGUAAUAAAAACUAAUUUUCCACCUGAGAACUACGAACUAACGUUUAAAACUCAAAGGACUUGGCGGUUUUUUAAAUCUUUCUGGAGGAGCUUGCUAUCAAACCGAUAAUCCACGAAAUACCUCACCAAUCUUUGAAAAUACAACCUGUAUACCAUCAUCGUCAGCCUACUCCUCAAGGAAAGUAUGCAAAAAGAGAUCCUCUCACUACGUUAGAUCGAGGUGCAGUUUAUAGAUUGGGGAUAAGUGAGCUACAAUAAUACAACAAAUAAAAUAUAAAUGUGGACAGCUUAAUGAAAAAAAGCUCCAAACAGAAUUCAGUAGUAAUGACUUAACAGAAAAUAAGCAUGAAAAAACAAAAAGCUCUAAAAUGCGCACACAUCGCCCGUCACUCUCCCCAAAAGGGGAGAAAAGUCGUAACAAAGUAGGCGUAUUGGAAAAUGUGCCUGGCAUAAA
rnacentral:ncRNA from 1 species